rnacentral:rRNA from 1 species
GUAGUCCACGCCGUAAACGUUGGGAACUAGAUGUGGGGGCCAUUCCACGGCUUCCGUGUCGCAGCUAACGCAUUAAGUUCCCCGCCUGGGGAGUACGGCCGCAAGGCUAAAACUCAAAGGAAUUGACGGGGGCCCGCACAAGCGGCGGAGCAUGCGGAUUAAUUCGAUGCAACGCGAAGAACCUUACCAAGGCUUGACAUAUACGAGAACGCUGCAGAAAUGUAGAACUCUUUGGACACUCGUAUACAGGUGGUGCAUGGUUGUCGUCAGCUCGUGUCGUGAGAUGUUGGGUUAAGUCCCGCAACGAGCGCAACCCUCGUUCUAUGUUGCCAGCACGUUAUGGUGGGAACUCAUAGGAGACUGCCGGGGUCAACUCGGAGGAAGGUGGGGAUGACGUCAAAUCAUCAUGCCCCUUAUGUCUUGGGCUUCACGCAUGCUACAAUGGCCGGUACAAAGGGCUGCAAUACCGCAAGGUGGAGCGAAUCCCUAAAAGCCGGUCUCAGUUCGGAUUGAGGUCUGCAACUCGACCUCAUGAAGUCGGAGUCGCUAGUAAUCGUGGAUCAGCAACGCCACGGUGAAUA